GAUUAAAAAUAGUUUUGUCUGUCUGUUUGUCUGUUUAUUUGUUUUUCUUUUAGCAGAGAAGGCCAAACAAAACCCAUUCUGAAAUCAGAAGGCAGAAAGACUUGAGUCUCAGGGAAGAAGCAGGAACACCAACCUUAAUUCCUUCACUUGUUGAGGAAGAUUCAGAAUCUCCCUUUGCAUGGAGGAGCUCAGAACUUUAGGUGGAAGACAAAAUGGUUGCAGACACAGAGGACUUUCCAGUCUGGCACAUCUCCCACGAGGCACGUUACAACUCGGGUCAUUACAGAAGAGUUCUUUCUGUCACCCAAAAACCUUGUAAGGUAACAUUGUCACUUUCCAGCCUGUACAAUUAAAAUGUGUUCUGCCUUCUUUAUAUCCUGGUAAUGCCAAUAUAACUUUUGUUGAAGAUAGGCUGAUAACUGAGAGGUACUAUUGCAGCAGGUCUCGUCCUGGGUUCUUUUUGCCAUUAAAAGUUUUGUUCUGGCUGAUGCACACAAAGGAUGCAUGACUCCUUCCAAAGUGAAAAUAAGCAAGUGUUGUAUAGUUUAACACUCUAGUUUUAGCCUCCAAACACAGAUGUUAAAUUAAGUGUUUUGUGUAUGUGUGUGUUUGAAGUGCAUGAAUAUAUCAUCUUGGCAAUAUAGACAAAAGUCUUCAAGAAUCUCUGAGCAGUAGCUGUGGUCAGCAUUGUGCAGAACUGCAAUUUGGGAGUAGAUGAGGUAUGCUUAUGCUGAGUCAUGCUUUGACAGUUUCUAUUUCUCAUUCCUUUUUACUCAUUUUAAGAUAUUUCUACUGUUCAUUAUUUCACAGUGCAAUGAAGCUCACAGAUUUUAGCAGGUAUACGUUAAUAUGCACCAACCAACAUAAGAGUACAGAAAUGAGUACUUCUGUAAUGCUCAGGAAAGUUCAUGUUAGAGGAGGAUCUAAUAAUGAUGUUGGUCAAUAGCUUAAAGUAUAAGAGAAUGUAUAGUAAUAGAAUCCCUUUGAAAUUCACAUGUAUCUCAUCACACUCCACAUAUAUCAAAACAAUAUUGCACCGAUGGGAAACAUAUAUUAUUAUAUAAAUCUUCCAAGAACAAUAUUUAAGUGGUCUAAACUCCUUAAGUAAAAAUACCUGUGCCAUAGGCUGAUUGGACAUGCCCUUUCCUGAAAUGUGGGUUGUAACCUGUGAAAGAAGAUACUUUCUCCUAAAGACAUAUGCAUCUAGUAAAGGAUGAGACAUGCUAGUACUAUGAACCAGGAAGGUAACAGCAAGCUCCUGUCUGGAAACCAUACUGCUUCAUAGAACCGAGUCUGUGCUAACCAGUUGUGAGAGUAGGCAAGAACUACAUGUAAGGAAGAAGGACCUACAAUCAUAGCUUGGUGUAUCUCCUGGAAUAGAGCUGAGUUGUGACCUGCCUAUUCAUGCUACAGGCAUAGCUAGUAAGUGACUGUACCUGGCAAAAUAAACAUGCCCAUACACUGGAUAUUGGAUAACACCAACUUGCACAGGAUGUACAGGGUCCUUAGGGCAUCUCUGUGAGGUGUGAGCCUGGAUUUGCUCAUCUAUAUUCUUUUUUUAAUGUUGUUUAAAAGCAAAUUGCAGUGCAGCGCAUAAUGGUGAAAUUAACCUCAAAGGGAACAAAAAAUGCUCUUUGCUAACGUAUGUGAAUCAUACAAUAUGCUUUCUUUUUUAAAAUCAAAUGUUUGUUAUUUGGGGCAUGGAGGAGAGAAAGGGGGGGGUAUGGAUUUUUAUUACAAAAUAUUAAUUAUUUUUGAAGAAAUAAAAUCUAAGCAUUUUGAAAAUUAAGCACAGAAGCCUGUUUUCAAGACUCUUUUCCAUUAAGCUGUCUUCUUAUAAGGCUGUAUCAACUCAACUUUGAUCUGAAGCACAUCACUCAUCACUUUAUACUAUCCUUAAAUAAAAUAAAACAAACCCAUAAAAGUUUGGCACCCGAGGACAGCUGUCACAAAGGAGAGAGCCAAUACAGUGUGCGUUUAGGGCCUGACUUACGUGUUCUACGUAACUACACCUAUUAAAAAAUAUUUAACUUCUAUUCAAACUGUAAAUCCCUCCCUUGCCUUUAUUCAAAAGUACCAUGACAGUAUGAAGUGCACUGAACUGUAUUACCUUGAUAUAGGAAAAAAUACCAGUAAUCCCCUUGCU